rnacentral:lncRNA from 10 species
UUUUGUUUCCAGUGAUAUCAGUUACCCAUCGUUAACCACAGUCUGAAAAUACUAAAUGAAAAUAUUAAAUUCCAGAAAUAAUACGAUCCAGCCAUAUUUGGAGUCUGCUCUACACUGGAACAUCUUUUUUUUUUUUUUUUUAGAUGGAGUUUUGCUCUUGUCGCCCCGGCUGGAGUGCAGUGGUGCGACCUCAGCGAUCUCAGCGAUCUCAGCGAUCUCAGCUCACUACAACCUCUGCCUCUUGGAUUCAAGCAGUUCUCCUGCCUCAACCACCUGAGUAGCUGGGAUUACAGGCGCCUGCCACCACGCCUGGCUAAUUUUUGUAUUUUUAGUAGAGAUGGGGUUUCACCAGGUUGGUCAGUCUGGUCUCGAACUCCUGACCUCAGGUGAUCCACCCACCUCGGCCUCCCAAAGUGCUGGGAUUACAGGCGUGAGCCACCAUGCCCAGCCUACACUUGGGCUUCUUAGGCACAAGAUCCAGUAAGCCCUCCCUCCUCCUCCCCACCCCUUUUUUCUUUACACUAGUGUUUUCUGUAAUCCUGCAACAGAAAGAGUCCUAACUGAUAUAUUUGUGACCAUUUCUAAAAUCUCCAAAAUGUAAAAUUAUACAAUUAAGAAUUAAAAUAAUUUUUUAAAACCAA